AGCGCGCCCCGAGCUGAACGGAGCUCUUUUUGUUAUUGCGAUUGCUGAAUAGUUCUGUCUAAUGUAUCACUUUCUUCGCAAUAACAAAAAAGCGGGAGUGGAGCGCGGAUAAAGGC
rnacentral:misc_RNA from 1 species